UACGUAGGUGGCAAGCGAUACUCGGAAUCACUAGGCGUAAAGCGCAGGUAGGCGGUUUGGUAAGUCUUUUGUGAAAGCUCCCGGCUCAACUGGGAGAGGUCAAGGGAAACUACCGGACUAGAGUGUGGUAGGGGAUACUGGAAUUCCUGGUGUAGCGGUGAAAUGCGUAGAUAUCAGGAGGAAUACCUAUGGCGAAAGCAGGUAUCUGGGCCAUCACUGACGCUGGAGCUGCGAAAGCUAGGGGAGCAAACAGG
rnacentral:rRNA from 1 species